rnacentral:rRNA from 1 species
UGGGGAAUAUUGCACAAUGGGCGGAAGCCUGAUGCAGCGACGCCGCGUGAGGGAUGACGGCCUUCGGGUUGUAAACCUCUUUCAGUAGGGACGAAGCGUAAGUGACGGUACCUGCAGAAGAAGCACCGGCUAACUACGUGCCAGCAGCCGCGGUAAUACGUAGGGUGCGAGCGUUGUCCGGAAUUACUGGGCGUAAAGGGUACGUAGGCGGAUAAGCAAGUUAGAAGUGAAAUCCUAUAGCUCAACUAUAGUAAGCUUUUAAAACUGCUCAUCUUGAGGUAUGGAAGGGAAAGUGGAAUUCCUAGUGUAGCGGUGAAAUGCGCAGAUAUUAGGAGGAAUACCGGUGGCGAAGGCGACUUUCUGGUCAUCAUCUGACGCUGAGGUACGAAAGCGUGGGUAGCAAACAGG